rnacentral:tRNA from 1 species
GCUAAGGUGGCAGAGCCUGGUAACUGCAAAAGGCCUAAGCCCUUUCACCCAGGGGUUCAAAUCCCCUCCUUCAGCU